rnacentral:miRNA from 1 species
UCCCUUCCGCAUUUAGCCC